rnacentral:rRNA from 1 species
AUGUUCCAGGGUGGAGCUCCAUUUAGGAAGAGGGAACAAGCGAUCUUCUCAGCAAAGCUCUUUGUACUCACCAGAAGGUCAUUUGUGAAUAUGCACAGGGACAUAGGAUACUACUGGAUGCGCUUGGGUGUUUACCUAGGCAUUGGCAUUUGUCUUGGCACCAUAUUAUACCAAGUUGUCCAUAGUUACAGUUCCAUCCAGUCUAGAUGUGAAGUAAUAAUGUAUACGACGACACUUCUUACCUUCAUGGCCAUUGGAGGAUUCACUUCUUUUGUAGAGGAUGUAAAGGUUGCUUUCUCCCUGCCAUCAGAGUAUUCAGAAGGGAGAGGCCGAGUGGCCAUUACGGCAUGGCGGAGUUUGUGA